rnacentral:rRNA from 1 species
UACGUAGGGUGCGAGCGUUGUCCGGAAUUAUUGGGCGUAAAGAGCUUGUAGGCGGUUUGUCGCGUCUGCCGUGAAAUUUCGGGGCUCAACCCCGAACUUGCGGUGGGUACGGGCAGACUAGAGUGUGGUAGGGGAGACUGGAAUUCCUGGUGUAGCGGUGAAAUGCGCAGAUAUCAGGAGGAACACCGAUGGCGAAGGCAGGUCUCUGGGCCAUAACUGACGCUGAGAAGCGAAAGCAUGGGGGAGCGAACAGG